CGCCUCUGCCCUUCCUGGGCGUUUCCUCCCUAUAGACUUUCAGCCCGGUCAUUUGGCCGGGCUUUCUUUUUGCGCGCC
rnacentral:sRNA from 1 species